AUGAUGAACCUUUUCGAUGCCUUUCACAGCAAUUCUUUAGAUGUGGCUCGGCUGAAUUAUGGGGUGAUUACCCUUAUUCCUAAGAUAAAUGGAGCUAAAAAAAUUCAACAAUAUAGACCUAUUUGCUUGCUACGAUGUCCUUACAAGCUCAUUACUAAAGUGUUGGACAAUAGAGCCUCCUUGUUUGCAGAUAUUUUGAUCAGCAAACACCAAAAUGCAUUCAUAAAGCACAGGAACAUUAUGGAUGGCAUUUUAACCCUUCAUGAAAUUCUUCAUCACACACAAAGAAAAAAGAAGAUUGGUGUGGUGUUGAAACUCGAUUUCAAAAAAUCAUAUGAUAAGAUCAAUUGGGAUUUCCUCAUUGAGUGUCACAGCAACAGGGGCUUUGGCCCCGUGUGGUGUGGGUGGAUCCAGAAGAUCCUUAGGAAUGGGACCAUUAGUAUCAAAUUGAAUAAUGAGAAAGGCUCUUACUUUCAAAGCUGCAAGGGGGUGCGACAAGGGGACCCGCACUCGCCUUUUUUGUUCAAUAUGGCUGUGGAAGCCUUGUCCAAAAUGAUCCUGAAUGCUCAAAAAGAUAAAAUGAUAACAGGUCUAGCUCCAGACCUGGUCGAUGGGGGGGGGUAG
rnacentral:rRNA from 1 species